CAAAAUCUGGAAAAAGCUCAAAUAACUAACCAUAUGACACAAAUAACUGGUCACCUAAUCGAAGUAAUAUAUGUACAAGAUGCCAUAACAUGCAACGAUUUGUAGGUGCAACAUCACCCUCUGCACUUGUCGGUCACUUAAUUUCCUUCAAGCACACAUUUAAGAACCAUUUGAUGGCUCAAGGUAGCAGCAAGUGAUUCGACUCUUUAUUUGCCAUACAGACUAAUAUUUACAUCUCAAGGGAGCAAAAAUGAUUGGCAUUGCAGACAAGAGAGCAACAGAUUCCAGAGUGACUGCAGAAUCGAAGAACAAAAAGCCUCACUUAUAUCUACCACAAGCAUGAACAGGAAAGAUGGUUGGACAGUUAGUUCCCUACAGAACAAGAUAAAGACACAUCUACAUUCAUGGGGUGGUCUGGCCAUCAGGGCAAUCGCCGCCUGAAGUUCCUACUGGUGCUUUGGUACGUCCGGACCAGCAGGCCAACACCCAAUCCAACACCCACACAAAUACCAAGGCCAAUCCCAACCCCAACUCGGACACCAGCAUUAAACCAUGAAAGCUCACCGUCCUCGCCCUCUAUAAAGUCCUGCCUCGAGUACAAGCUGUUAUAAUCAACAUCCACAUCUUGCUCAGAUUUGGGAUUCUCAGGUACCUGCAAAGAGUCCUCAUUUAACUCUUCUUUUUGUUGUUCAGUUGCCUCAUUCUCAGGGAUGGAAUCAAGCUUUAGUUUCAUUUGGGAUUUCCUCCGUGAUAUAUGCUGCACAGUCUUUGUUAAUAUAAUAGGUGUGCCACAGAAAGUGCCAGCAAGAUAAACCUCUAUCACAGGAUGUACAGACUCUGAAGCUGUGGACGGCUUCCCCUUGAGAAAACCAUUGCAUGAUGAUGCUGGUUGGCACUUCAUAUUCCAUCUCUUGCUGCUGUUCUUCGAUUCCCCGACAACUCCAUUGGCACUGCACAACUCUAGGUCGCCUGUGAGCAGCAGAUCGUUCUUAUCGAACACCUGAAACCUGACACUCCCUGUCAUCCUUAUACUAUCUGUGCUCACGAAUGUAGCCUCCUCGGUCAUUUUGUCAACCCUGUCCCUCCUGAGGGAUGAAGAGAUGAACUCGGUGUGCAUGCUACUCCGCUGACCAUUCACCUCGAUAACCGUAUCGGGAGACAGCGGGAUGUGGUUGAGCGUGAGACGGUCCGGCGCAGACUCAUCCACCUCGCAAUUGCUCACCCUUACAUAGAACACCUUCAAGUCAAGCCACGGCGAAGACCUCGGCGUAUAAAGCGGGUGCAUGAUGAUCUUCCUGGCAGUCUCAAAAGCCACCUCAUCAGCCAUCUU
rnacentral:sRNA from 1 species